rnacentral:rRNA from 1 species
UACGUAGGGUGCAAGCGUUGUCCGGAAUUAUUGGGCGUAAAGAGCUCGUAGGCGGCUUGUCGCGUCGGAUGUGAAAGCCCGGGGCUUAACUCCGGGUCUGCAUUCGAUACGGGCAGGCUAGAGUUCGGUAGGGGAGAUCGGAAUUCCUGGUGUAGCGGUGAAAUGCGCAGAUAUCAGGAGGAACACCGGUGGCGAAGGCGGAUCUCUGGGCCGAUACUGACGCUGAGGAGCGGAAGCGUGGGGAGCGAACAGG